rnacentral:rRNA from 1 species
CGAGUGACACUGCGCCGAAAAUGUACCGGGGCUAAACAUAUUACCGAAGCUGUGGAUUGUCCUUUGGACAAUGGUAGGAGAGCGUUCUAAGGGCGUUGAAGCAUGAUCGUAAGGACAUGUGGAGCGCUUAGAAGUGAGAAUGCCGGUGUGAGUAGCGAAAGACGGGUGAGAAUCCCGUCCACCGAUUGACUAAGGUUUCCAGAGGAAGGCUCGUCCGCUCUGGGUUAGUCGGGUCCUAAGCUGAGGCCGACAGGCGUAGGCGAUGGAUAACAGGUUGAUAUUCCUGUACCACCUAUAAUCGUUUUAAUCGAUGGGGGGACGCAGUAGGAUAGGCGAAGCGUGCGAUUGGAUUGCACGUCUAAGCAGUAAGGCUGAGUAUUAGGCAAAUCCGGUACUCGUUAAGGCUGAGCUGUGAUGGGGAGAAGACAUUGUGUCUUCGAGUCGUUGAUUUCACACUGCCGAGAAAAGCCUCUAGAUAGAAAAUAGGUGCCCGUACCGCAAACCGACACAGGUAGUCAAGAUGAGAAUUCUAAGGUGAGCGAGCGAACUCUCGUUAAGGAACUCGGCAAAAUGACCCCGUAACUUCGGGAGAAGGGGUGCUCUUUAGGGUUAACGCCCAGAAGAGCCGCAGUGAAUAGGCCCAAGCGACUGUUUAUCAAAAACACAGGUCUCUGCUAAACCGUAAGGUGAUGUAUAGGGGCUGACGCCUGCCCGGUGCUGGAAGGUUAAGAGGAGUGGUUAGCUUCUGCGAAGCUACGAAUCGAAGCCCCAGUAAACGGCGGCCGUAACUAUAACGGUCCUAAGGUAGCGAAAUUC